rnacentral:rRNA from 1 species
UACGGGGGGGGCAAGCGUUGUUCGGAAUUAUUGGGCGUAAAGGGUUCGUAGGCGGUCGACUCAGUCAGACGUGAAAUCCCUCGGCUUAACCGGGGAACUGCGUCUGAUACUGGUCGGCUUGAGUGCAGGAGAGGAAUGCGGAAUUCCAGGUGUAGCGGUGAAAUGCGUAGAUAUCGAGAGGAACACCUGCGGCGAAGGCGGGUUGCUGGGCUGACACUGACGCUGAUGCGCGAAAGCCAGGGGAGCGAACGGG